GACGAACGCUGGCGGCGUGCUUAACACAUGCAAGUCGAACGGAAAGGCCCCCUUGUGGGGUACUCGAGUGGCGAACGGGUGAGUAACACGUGAGUAACCUCCCCUUGACUUUGGGAUAACUUCAGGAAACUGGGGCUAAUACCGGAUAGGAGCUCCUGCUGCAUGGUGGGGGUUGGAAAGUUUCGGCGGUUGGGGUUGGACUCGCGGCUUAUCAGCUUGUUGGUGGGGUAGGGGCUCACCAAGGCUUUGACGGGUAGCCGGCCUGAGGGGGUGACCGGCCACAUGGGGACUGAGAUACGGCCCAGACUCCUACGGGAGGCAGCAGUGGGGAAUAUUGCACAAUGGGCGGAGGCCGGAGGCAGCAACGCCGCGUGCGGGAUGACGGCCUUCGGGUUGUAAACCGCUUUCGCCUGUGACGAAGCGUGAGUGACGGUAAUGGGUAAAGAAGCACCGGCUAACUACGUG
rnacentral:rRNA from 1 species